GAUGAACGCUGGCGGCGUGCCUAAUACAUGCAAGUCGAACGAGGUGCUUGAGUAGCAAUACGAGAGCAUCCUAGUGGCGAACGGGUGAGUAACGCGUUGGUGACCUACCCCAAAGUGUGGGAUAACAGUCCGAAAGGACUGCUAAUACCGCAUGUGGUUAUCGGAUUUAGAAACUGAUAUCUAAAGGAGCAAUUCGCUUUGGGAGGGACCUGCGUCCCAUCAGCUAGUUGGUGAGGUAAUGGCUCACCAAGGCUACGACGGGUAGGGGACCUGAGAGGGUGACCCCCCACAAUGGAACUGAAACACGGUCCAUACACCUACGGGUGGCAGCAGUAGGGAAUAUUGCUCAAUGGGCGAAAGCCUGAAGCAGCAACGCCGCGUGUGCGAUGAAGGCCUUCGGGCCGUAAAGCACUUUUCUUGAGAGAUGAGCAAGGACGAAGUAAGUCUCAGGAAUAAAGUACUUCGGCUAACUACCGUGGUCCACGCCAGCCGCGGUUAACUCACUAA
rnacentral:rRNA from 1 species